CAGCCUGGGCAAUAGAGUGAGACGGCAUAAAAACAAAGAAAAGGAAAAUAAUUCCACCAGCUUGAGAUCUCUAACCCUUUUGGGAUUGUUCUGUGCACGUUGUGUGAUUUUACAGCUCCCUUCUUCCCGUACGUGGCAGAAAUCUUUCCCCAUUGAUGCAUAUGGACAGGGUCGCUUGUAGGCAGCUUCGCUUAUUUCAUCAGCUCUGGAUGCUUUUGUUACUGACACUGGCGUUGGCCUGCUGUCUUCCACGUGUCUCAGAUCAGUGUCUGGCCGCGGGCUCUCAGAGGCGGCUCUCUGGGCUAGAGGACUCAGCUUCCACGGGGCCUGUGGCAUAGGAGGCACUGCCUCCUUCCACCAAGAUCUGGAAGGAUGUGAACCUGUUCGUCCCACCUGGAUUCCCAGCGGGGGCUUCUCUUCCUGCAGGCUCUGACGUGUCCUCCCUCCCGGCUCCGCCCGCCCAGUGUGCCUUUCAGAGGCCUCUUCCCCGCAGAGCCUGUGUGUGCCCUUCAUCCUGUCUCCAUUUGUGACCAGUGACUGUCAGUUACUGCAGCGUGGAGAAAAGAAAGAACCCAGACACACUCAGCUUUGUGCGGUCAGUGGUGAAGCGUGGGUUUUGUUUACUUCCUAGGAAGAACUCAAGUUUUUUCUGCUUCUUUGUGUGUGUUGUUGAUUUUUUCUAGCAACUCAAUGUCGAUUUGUUUACUGAACAAAGGUUUUCCUGUUAGGAAGACUCAUUACCGUAUCUGAAACAUUGAAAAUAAUGUUUUUCACAAAAAUUGCUUUUACCUCUAAUAUAGAGUGCUAGGAUUCAGAUGGCAGAAUGGUGGGAAGAGAGAGAGCUUAGGUUGAUCUUUUUUUUUCCUAGUUGAGAUCUAAUUUAUACCCUAAAAUUGACCGUUUUAAAGCAUACAUCUCAGUGAUUUUUAGUAUAUUCACAAGGUUUUGGAGUCAUCAGUUCUAAUUCUAGAAUAUAUUUUAUUAGCCCCAAAAUAAGUGCCGUAUCCAUCAACAGUCACUUUCCAUUCUCCCAGCCUCUAGCCUCUGGCCCCCGCUUGUCUCCGUCUGUCCCUGUGGGCGGCCCCGUUGUGGACCUUGACUAUAAAUGGAAUCCUGUAACGUCCACAUUGUAGCUUGCCUCAGAGCGUUGUUCCUCUUAAUGGCUACGUGAUACGCCGAGGUACAGACGGCCCAAGUUCUGUUUCCCCAUCGUCAGUAGGUGGAUGUUUGGGUCAUGAUAUGGAAGGUAUGGACGGCUCACGUUCUGUUUCUCCAUCGUCAGUAGAUGGAUGUUUGGGUCAUGAUAUGGAAGGUAUGGACGGCCCACGUUCUGUUUCUCCAUCGUCAGUAGAUGGAUGUUUGGGUCAUGAUAUGGAAGGUAUGGACGGCCCACAUUCUGUUUCUCCAUCAUCGGUAGAUGGACGUUUGGGUCAUGAUAUGGAAGGUAUGGACGGCCCACGUUCUGUUUCUCCAUCGUCAGUAGAUGGACAUUUGGGUUGUUUCCACUUUUUGGCUGUUGUCAUUAAUGCCGCUGUGAACUAAAGUUAUGUGCAGGUUUUUGUGUAUGUAUGAAUUGCAAGGUCAGGGCAAUGGAGUUUUUCACACGUGAAAUUUGAGGAAAAGAGGGAUUCUGCUGAUUUCAUCUUCAUUGAAUUUGCAAAUCACAUUGCAGUUACAACAGACUAAUUGUUCUAAUUAUUUUUCAAUGUGGAUUUUGUGUAAAUCCCCACGUAGAUCUGGCCACCGCCUCAAGGCCUGGUGUUUGUUUGGUUUAAAUUGUGUCAGCUAAGGCACAAAAAACUUGAUAAUUCUGGGGAGUACAGGGUCAUAAAAACAAAAAAAUUUAAAAUCAACUUAGGAAAAGAUAUCAGAUUUCGAGCCUACUUAGUAUUAAUCUGUAUAUAUAAGGAAGCAUACAAAUAUUCUUUGUAUCUGAGUUUAAGUUCUUUUGAUGUUUUGUGUAAGACAGUUUUAUUUAGCAAAGUCUUUGAGCUGAGUUUUUUAGCCAUAUUUACCACUGCAUGUUCUCAUCAAACAUAAUUUUGAUGUAUAACACAGGUUGUAGGAUUAGGGUAAACUGGAGAACUUUUUCAAAUCUUAAUUUUUACUUUAUUUUGAAGAUGAGGCCAUCAUCUAGAGCCAUUCUAUUUUCACAUUCAUUAGGAGGAAACGUUGUUUAUAAUCAGUCUCUUUCACUGACUCUGUCCUUGGGAAUGUAUAUCCCAGCGGGGUCGGUGUUAGGAAUAUAUCAGCUUCAGCUGCAUUAUUUGACAUGGCGGCUUCGUGAAAAUUACACACAGACAGGGGAAGUCGUCUUUAAAUGAUUGCUGUAUGUGUGAUUUGGAAAAACAGCCAAUCCAUUCAUGUCUCUUCCAUCAGAUUCACUGUCAGCCCACAGGGCUGUCAUCUGGUCAACAUUUCCAUAAGGUUUGAACGUGCGGAGAAUUGGGCCAGCAGCUUCCCUGCCUGUGCCCCCUCUACCCCAGAGCCACUGGGCAGGGGUGAGUCAGCAAGUUGAUGUGACCGAAAGCAUGAUGAAUAUGGAAGUGCUAAAAGGGGAUGCGCUUGUCUUUCUGUUUAGUCUUUUUAGGCCCCGAUAAGAGACAGGAGCUGCAGGACACAGAUUGUUCUUAUCUUGUAGAUACGUCUUAGAGAACCACGGAUUUCAAAACGGUUAUUUCUUAAGAAUUCCAAAUGGCUUGUAUGAAUUGAUACACUGUUUUAUAUCAAAUUUGGAGUCAGUUUAUUGUACUGCCAAGAUACCAUAUCAUUUUAUUGUAGGUUUUUACUUAGGUAAUUCCGUUUGUCAUGACACACAUGCCAUUGGAGCAGGAAGGAAGGUACCUCCUGACUGUUGGGAGUGUGGACGGUAGACUGUGUCUCAUUGGAGCAGGAAGGAAGGUACCUCCUGACUGUUGAGCGUGUGGACGGUAGACUGUGUCUCAUUGGAGCAGGAAGGAAGGUACCUCCUGACUGUUGAGCAUGUGGACGGUAGACUGUGUCUCAUUGGAGCAGGAAGGAAGGUACCUCCUGACUGCUGAGCGUGUGGACGGUAGACUGUGUCUCAUUGGAGCAGGAAGGAAGGUACCUCCUGACUGUUGAGCGUGUGGACGGUAGACUGUCUUCAUUCUUGUCUUUGGUCAGUAGUUUUGGUCUCGGUAUGCUCAUGCUUUGUUUUGUACUUGACAGCGUGUGGGUUCCCAUCAUUCAAUGACUAAGCUGCCAGCUGAGUUAGAGAAAGAAGUUGAGCUAGAAUGGACCUAGUGUGGGAUCUGUUUGCCCAUGAAGGCAUUUAGAUUCUUAAUCAAGAGGUUAAAUUCCUGCUGUGUAUGCAUUUGCUAAUUCUUAAAACACCUGUCUAAUCCUACACAUAAAAUGUUAGGUACUUCAUUUCAGUGGAGGAUUGUUGUUGAAUUCUACUUGAAUUAUUGCCAGGAAUUGGUCCCAUGGACAUGCCUGUCAGUAGAAUGACUUACGUGGUAGCCCUUGGUGGUGCCAGCGAAGGCUGGCGAGGCACAGCUGGGAGAGUUGGGCUGCCGUGAGAGCUGUCAGCUGCAGCCGUCCUGCCGCUGCUACUGGCAUGCUGUGCUGUGCGGUCAGAUUCACAGACCUCGCUGUCCAUAGAACGCCGCGCACGUGGAAAUAAGAACGUGUAGCCAUGCUGUGCUGUGUGGAUUUACAGACCUCACAGUCCAUAGAAUGUCAGCCGUGCACUUGGAAAUAAGAACAUGUAGCCACGCUGUGCUGUACGGAUUUACAGACCUCGCAGUCCACAGAAUGUCAGCCGUGCACGUGGAAAGAACAUGUAGCCACGCUGUGCUGUGUGGAUUUACAGACCUCGCAGUCCACAGAAUGUCAGCCACGCACGUGGAAA